rnacentral:lncRNA from 1 species
UGCUAUUAAUGGCUACAACGGCGGUACCUUUGCGCCGGGGCGGUGUUCUAACUAUGAGGGUAACUGCACUUCCGGUAACUCAGCGACUGAACCCUACAUUGCGGCACACCAUUUGCUUCUUGCUCAUUCAGCUGCUGUCAAGAUAUACAAGGACAAAUAUCAAGUACUGUAACCCUAGCUGCAUUCGUUAUAUAUUUGAAUAUUACGAUGAAUACGUGAAUAUAGAUAUAUAACUUGAAUUAACGAACUAAUGUGAAUAUAUGUAAGCAGGCUACCCAAAAGGGACAGAUCGGGAUUACCAUAGUGACUCACUGGUGGAAACCUAAGUUCCCAGAACAGCUGGCUAGCCGAAGAGCCACUCUUAGAUCACUCGACUUUAUGUUUGGAUGGUGAGGCUAGCUGCUUAAAUAUUAAGACGUAAUUCUUCUGUAAAACUUCAUGUGUUGAUUUUGUAUGAAUUUUCAAUAUCUUGUAGGUUUGCCAAUCCUAUAUUUCAUGGGGAUUAUCCGGCGGUCAUGAAAUCUUUGGUCGGGGAUCGAUUGCCGAAAUUUACAGAAGCUGAGUCGAAGCAGAUAAAAGGCUCCCUCGAUUUUCUUGGGUUGAAUUACUACACAGCAUAUUACACAGUUGAUGAACCAGCUUUAUCCAACGCUGUCAACCAUAGUUGGAGUGCAGACAGACAAGUCGGUGCUUCUACUAGUAUGCAUCCAUCAAUCAUUAAUCCCCACACGUACCAUAUAUAAUAACUAAGUUCAACUGCUAUUCGAUUCUAACACAUCUAAAUCUAUUUUGUUGUCACAGCUGAUAAAAAUGGGGCUCUUAUUGGUGCAGCGGUAUGUACUAAUUCAUUCUCUCUAGCUCUAUGGUAUACGUUCAAGUUAUUCAUUUAGAUACUGAUGUUUACAAUUAUGUGGUAAACAUGCAGACUGAUCUGGAUUGGCUUUUCGUUUAUCCGAAAGGGAUCAGAGAGGUUCUUUUGUAUAUAAAGGAGAAGUACAAUAACCCAAACAUUUAUAUUACUGAGAAUGGUAAAACGAUCGAUUCUCUUAUAUAUAACCAUAUAUUACAUGAUUAAUUUUAGUAUUUUAUGCAUGCUAAGAUUGUAUAUAAUUUUGCAGGAUAUGCAUACGGAUAUAAUGCCUCAACACCAAUUCAAGAAGCUCGUAAGGAUAAUUUGAGGAUAAGAUACCAUCACGACCAUUUGUGGUAUCUUUUGAAGGCUAUUAAGUGAGUCACACUCGUUCAUGUAGUGCAUGGUUUUUGGUAUAAUUUAUAAUUAGAGAUUGAGUUAAUAAUUAUUCGAUUAAUUGUUAUUGAUUGAAUAUUUCAGGGAUGGGGUAAAAGUGAAGGGAUACUACGCAUGGUCAUUUUGGGAUGACUUCGAAUGGGAUGCUGGUUACACAGUUGGGUUUGGCCUAACAUUAGUUGAUGUCAAGGAUAAUCUGAAAAGAUACCUCAAGUAUUCUGCCUAUUGGUACAAGAUGUUCCUCCUGCACUGAUAUGCUGGCUUAUGGAUUGAUCCAUCACCUAGCCUGCGGAUCAUACCUCUCUAUCUACUCCAAAUAAAUUGAGCAAUAAUUUCCCAAUAAUUUCCUUAUGUAUGUCAUCUACCUAGCUAUAUGUAUGUAUCUUCAGCUAGCUCUCAUCAAUAAGAACUAUUGGUCCGCUUUAAUUGUGUUUUUCUGGUAGAGAGUUUCAAUUUAUGCACAUACUUAAGUGGGAACUACCAUAUAGUUAAAUUAUCAAUUCAAAUAGCUAGUUUUGUUUACUGUAUCAUUAUGUAAGUAAUGAAAUUAUAUACAUACUGAAGAAACGACAAACCAGCAACCAUCAAGUUUCGUGACAGGAACCAGAUCCGGAUCUGGAGCUCGAGAAGCCGCGAUCUUGCAUUCACGGCGUUGGCCAAAACCUUCGAUCCGCCAACUCCAGUUCGACCAUCGACCCUCUGCCGCGCAAGACCUCCUUUGCUCCACCCCCAUCUAUCCUCCCGCCGCGCCUUCGCCUCCGAUGCAGCAGCCGAAAAAUCGCUUCGGUUGAGAACCCGAUCUGCUCAAAACCCAUAAUCGAGCCACAAACAUAACCCAUGAAUCGUCUUCCCGUCCGGCCGCCCUCCACGUGCAUCGGCUCGGCCAUCGACCGCUACCGGUGCCGCGGCGCAACCGGACGAGAUAAAGAGGAGAAGGUGUUUUCAGAAAGUUUUAGAGAGGCGCGCGUGUGAGGCGCGUUCUAGAUCCCCUAUCCUCAUCCUUUGAUAAAGCUGACUCGAAAGAGAUGUUACGACUGAAAAAUAAACUACUUUUUAUGAAAAUUGAAUUCGAC